UACGUAGGCGGAAAAUUAAGUCAGUAGUGAAAUCCUGCAGCUUAACCGUAGAACUGUUAUUGAUACUGGUUUUCUUGAAUAUAGUUGAGGUAGGCGGAAUGUGUAAUGUAGCGGUGAAAUGCUUAGAUAUUACACAGAACACCGAUUGCGAAGGCAGCUUACUAAGCUAUGAUUGACGCUGAGGUACGAAAGCGUGGGGAGCGAACAGGAUUAGAUACCCUGGUAGUCC
rnacentral:rRNA from 1 species